GGGUAAGUGCGGCAUAGUGGCUUGGGCGCUGGACUGCAAAACUGGAGACCAGGGUUCGAAUCCUGGCUCGGCCA